AAAUUGAAGAGUUUGAUCAUGGCUCAGAUUGAACGCUGGCGGCAGGCCUAACACAUGCAAGUCGAACGGUAGCACAGAGAGCUUGCUCUCGGGUGACGAGUGGCGGACGGGUGAGUAAUGUCUGGGAAACUGCCUGAUGGAGGGGGAUAACUACUGGAAACGGUGGCUAAUACCGCAUAAUGUCGCAAGACCAAAGAGGGGGACCUUCGGGCCUCUUGCCAUCAGAUGUGCCCAGAUGGGAUUAGCUAGUUGGUGAGGUAACGGCUCACCAAGGCGACGAUCCCUAGCUGGUCUGAGAGGAUGACCAGCCACACUGGAACUGAGACACGGUCCAGACUCCUACGGGAGGCAGCAGUGGGGAAUAUUGCACAAUGGGCGCAAGCCUGAUGCAGCCAUGCCGCGUGUAUGAAGAAGGCCUUCGGGUUGUAAAGUACUUUCAGCGGGGAGGAAGGUGUUGUGGUUAAUAACCUCAGCAAUUGACGUUACCCGCAGAAGAAGCACCGGCUAACUCCGUGCCAGCAGCCGCGGUAAUACGGAGGGUGCAAGCGUUAAUCGG
rnacentral:rRNA from 1 species